rnacentral:rRNA from 1 species
UACGGAGGGUGCAAGCGUUAAUCGGAAUUACUGGGCGUAAAGCGCACGUAGGUGGUUUGUUAAUCUAGAUGUGAAAGCCCCGGGCUCAACCUGGGAAUUGCAUUUAGAACUGGCAAGCUAGAGUAGGGUAGAGGGGUGUGGAAUUCCACGUGUAGCAGUGAAAUGCGUAGAUAUGUGGAGGAAUACCGAUGGCGAAGGCAGCCCCCUGGGUCGAUACUGACGCUCAUGCACGAAAGCGUGGGGAGCGAACAGG